CUUUAAUUAGUCUGGGAGAGAUAUUGCAAGUGUUAAUUAAAGUUUGAUGCAAAUUUGUCAUUAAGUGAUUCAUUGUCCUUUAGCCUUUGUGGGGCAAACUGCCAGAUGUGAAAUUCUCGUGUGCUACAGCCCAGUCAAGCUCCCUUCAAGUUCUCCAGGUCUCUGUUCUGAGUUCAGUCAGGCCCAUCAGAACCCUGGUGGGGUGCUUUGGAGCAAUUCAAUGUAAAGAAUGUGUAACCAGACAGCUCUGGUCACUGGAAACCUUCAGUAUUUGAUAAAGGAAAAGAAUGUUUCUUUCCACUUGCUCAAAUAUUGCAAGCAAUAGCAAAUUCUGAGGUGAAGAUAAUUCACCUUUAGGUGCCAGGAGAACAUUGUCUCAAAAAAAGACAAAAAAAAAAAAAAAAGAAUGGGGCGAGUGGGAAGCAGGCUUUGUGCAAUAAAAAGGAAUUGAGAAACUUGAUGGUUGUUGAAGCUACUUUACGUUAUUUUCCUUUAUUGAUGUUUCGUCAUCAGGUGCUGAAUCAGUCCUAUCCUAUAAACUUGUAGAGGUUAUGAACUUCUGAUUGGAGUAGGUGGUAAACAGAGCUUGUCUGAACUGGCAGGAUACAUCUGCUCCCUGGAGGUUUUCCAAAUUACACAGAAGAAACCAAGGCCUCAGGGUAGAUCUUGCCAGUUUGUACAUCAAGACAGGUGCCAAGAACAUGCCCACAGUGUUUUUGCUGACAGAUGCCCAAGUUCCAGAUGAAUGCUUUCUUGUGCUGAUUAAUGACUAGUUUGCAUCAGGAAAGGCUCCAGAUCUGUUCAGUCAUGAAGGUCAUAGUUGCAGGAGUUAGAAAAGAAGUCUGAGCCCUGGGCCUGAUGGACAUCAGAGAACACUCCUGGAGGUGAUUGCUCAGAGUGUGGUGCAGUAGGAAAUAAGACAUAUUUCAGGGGCAAGAAACAGUGAUGAGCUGAUCAAAAUAGCAACACAUUUCAGUUAUCUCAUUACCCAGCAUAUGUUGGCAUACUUCUCUUGAAAGCUUACUGAUG
rnacentral:lncRNA from 1 species